rnacentral:rRNA from 1 species
UUCCGUUAACGAACGAGACCUCGGCACUCCGAAUAGCGCGGCGGACGUCGCGGCCUCCGGGCCGUCUUCCGCACGAGCUUCUUAGAGGGACCGUCCCCCGCCGGGGAAGGAGGUGCGAGGCAACGACAGGUCUGUGAUGCCCUUAGAUGUUCUGGGCCGCACGCGCAUUACACUGACGCGUCCAACGGGUGACUCCCGACCCGAAGGGGCCGGGGAAUCCGCAAGGCGCGUCGUGAUGGGGAUUGAACGUUGCAAUUGUUGUUCACGAACGAGGAAUUCCUAGUAGGCGCGGGUCAUCAACCCGCGCCGAUUACGUCCCUGCCCUUUGUACACACCGCCCGUCGCUCCUACCGAUCGAACGGUCCGGUGAGGACCCAGGACGGCGCGGGACCCGAGGGGCCGAAAGGCUCCGCGACCCGUGUCGGAAUCCGUCCGAACCUUACCGUUUAGAGGAAGGAG